AACGAACGCUGGCGGCAUGCCUAACACAUGCAAGUCGAACGAGACCUUCGGGUCUAGUGGCGCACGGGUGCGUAACGCGUGGGAACCUGCCCUUAGGUUCGGAAUAAGUCCCCGAAAGGGGUGCUAAUACCGGAUAAUGUCUUCGGACCAAAGAUUUAUCGCCUUUGGAUGGGCCCGCGUUGGAUUAGCUAGUUGGUAGGGUAAAAGCCUACCAAGGCGACGAUCCAUAGCUGGUCUGAGAGGAUGAUCAGCCACACUGGGACUGAGACACGGCCCAGACUCCUACGGGAAGCAGCAGUGGGGAAUAUUGGACAAUGGGCGAAAGCCUGAUCCAGCAAUGCCGCGUGAGUGAUGAAGGCCUUAGGGUUGUAAAGCUCUUUUACCCGGGAUGAUAAUGACAGUACCGGGAGAAUAAGCUCCGGCUAACUCCGUG
rnacentral:rRNA from 1 species